UCUAAAGUUUCUAGCCACCUUUCUGCUCAAAAACAAAAUGUUUUUUAUCUCUAUUAUUAAACUUUUGUUUCUUGUAGAGAUUAAUAAAAAAGAUGAAAAAUCCCUGGCAAAUUGACAAAGGCAAAGCUAAGGUUGGGAAAAUGCCUUAAAUUUGCUGUUUUCCGUUCAAUUUGUUCCAUGAAAGAGCAAAUGUUGGGAUUUCAGCACUAGUCUUUCCCCUUUUCUGGGGAUUGCUUCAUUAUUUUUACAGAAAAUUAAUUCGCGAUUUUGGCUACAAC
rnacentral:lncRNA from 1 species